ensembl:lncRNA
CGGGAGCGGAGGCCCCACUGGGCGGCCGUGCGCGCGUGCGGCCGCGCGGCUCUGGGCUUCCGCGCGCGCGACGAGCGGAGCGUGGACCCUGCGCCGGCUUCGGCGACUCUCCGGCCCGGAAUUGGGCUCCCCCAGGCGGCCACCUCGGCCGCGGGGCCGCGGAGACUGGGCGCCGGGGCGGAGGCAGGGGACCGGCGAGCGCAGGAGGGCCCCGCCUCGCCGUAUGCAGUGCGCGGGACUGCGCCUCCGCUUUCUGGGGAGACGGGGCGGUGUCAGGACUUGGACUAUGUUCCUGAUUUGUUCAGACUGCCAUGGCUCCAUAUAUAAAGGACAUUCACCAAAAAGUUUGGUUGGAAAAGCAAUGACUUUGACUUAUUAG